GGGAGGGGCAGUUAGCUGCAGUCAUUUCAUCUCUAUCCUUUCCACUCUCUUCAUUCUCCCUCUCCCAAAUCCAAAGAAGUGCUCGGUGCUCCUGCAGGUGUUCUCCAACGGAAAAGAUGGCCGAUGCUGCUGGCCAAGUUUGUGGAGUUUGUUUGAACCAUUGCAACUAUGAGACCAAGGAAAGCGGUUUCAGCAUGUUUGCAUGGGAGAAGUUCAAAAAUGGAGGGGUUGUGCCAUGUAAUGAAAGGGUCCGUUUCAACAACAUGACGGGAGAGAAGGUGACAUUUGUGGCAAACCAACGGGCGUACACCAUAAAGUGUUAGAAGGGUCAUACAAAGAGAACAAUGUAUGGGAGAGGUUGGAGGAAUUUCUAUGAAGACAAUAAGCUGGGGUCAGAUGGCGGUGUUCUUCCUGGAUGAAUCUUCGCCUAGGGCAGUUAUUUGUGUGAUCCAGGUGGGCAACGGCUCCGAAGAUGGACAACCUAUGGAAGAGGGUGAUCCCAUUGAAGAUUUAGAUUCAGAUGAUGAGGAUGGAGAAGCUUCAAGUGACGAUGGUGAAGAGAUUGUUCACAGUACGGGGCUUCAGCUUAAUGAGAUAGAGGAUUUUCAGCUAUAAGGGUUGCUGCCUCUCAGUGAUGACUUCAUCGGGUUUCCUUUCGUUCACCGCCUCACAAGGACAGAUGUUCGUUUGCACACG